rnacentral:rRNA from 1 species
AGCAGCCGCGGUAAUUCCAGCUCCAAUAGCGUAUAUUAAAGUUGUUGCAGUUAAAAAGCUCGUAGUUGAAUUUCGGGAUUGACGUGAUGGUCAUGCCUUAAGGGGUAUGAACUGUUGCAGUUGAUUUCUCACCUUCUGGAGAAACUUGAUGUCCUUUAUUGGGUGUCUUGCGGAUCCAGGACCUUUACCUUGAAAAAUUAGAGUGUUUAAAGCAGGCAUUUUUGCUCGAAUACAUUAGCAUGGAAUAAUAGAAUAGGACGGCAUGGUUCUAUUUUGUUGGUUUCUAGGAUCACCGUAAUGAUUAAUAGGGAUAGUUGGGGGCAUUAGUAUUCAACUGUCAGAGGUGAAAUUCUUGGAUUUAUUGAAGACUAACUACUGCGAAAGCAUUUGCCAAGGAUGUUUUCAUUAAUCAAGAACGAAAGUUAGGGGAUCGAAGACGAUCAGAUACCGUCGUAGUCUUAACCAUAAACUAUGCCGACUAGGAAUCAGACGAUGUUAAUUUUUAANGUACUCGUUU